CUCAGGAUGAACGCUAGCGGCAGGCUUAACACAUGCAAGUCGAGGGGUAAAUAGUUUUCGGAUUAUUGAGACCGGCGCACGGGUGCGUAACGCGUAUGCAAUCUACCUUUUACAGAGGGAUAGCCCAGAGAAAUUUGGAUUAAUACCUCAUAGUAUUGUUGACUGGCAUCAUUUAACAAUUAAAGUUCCAACGGUAAAAGAUGAGCAUGCGUCCCAUUAGUUAGUUGGUAAGGUAACGGCUUACCAAGACAAUGAUGGGUAGGGGUCCUGAGAGGGAGAUCCCCCACACUGGUACUGAGACACGGACCAGACUCCUACGGGAGGCAGCAGUGAGGAAUAUUGGACAAUGGGCGCAAGCCUGAUCCAGCCAUGCCGCGUGCAGGAAGAAGCAUCUAUGGUGUGUAAACUGCUUUUGUACGGGAAGAAACAUCACUACGUGUAGUGACUUGACGGUACCGUAAGAAUAAGGAUCGGCUAACUCCGUGUCAGCAGCCGCGGUAAUACGGAGGAUCCAAGCGUUAUCCGGAAUCAUUGGGUUUAAAGGGUCCGUAGGCGGUUUAAUAAGUCAGUGGUGAAAUCUGGUCGCUCAACGAUCAAACGGCCAUUGAUACUGUUAAACUUGAAUUAUUGUGAAGUAACUAGAAUAUGUAGUGUAGCGGUGAAAUGCUUA
rnacentral:rRNA from 1 species